AAAUAAAACUUAUCUAAAAAUAACUGUUUAACUAUAAAUAUAAUAAAAAUAUUUUUCCAUUUGUUAAAAAUAGUAUUUAAUAAAAAAAUUUAUAUAUUGAUGAUAGAUAAAAAGUACUGUGAAGGAAAGUUGAAAUAAUUGAAAACCUCAUUUUAAAAAAGUAUUUUUUAAAAUAAGUACCUCGUGUAUCAGGGAAUUUAAAAAUUAACUUCACUAUACGUAAAUAAUCCCGAAAUUUAGUGAGCUAUUUGGUAGAAAUAGUUACUGUGGUAUAAUUAUUAUAAACUGCCCAUUAGAAAUGAAAUUUUAUACGCACUAAUAAGUAUCUGGUUUUUCGAUAAAUGAAUUAAAUUCAGUUCUUAGCUUAAAAGACAAUCUAAGAAAUAAAAAUAGGAGGGAAAAGCUUCUUAUUUAAUAAUAAACAAAUUAAGAAUAAAAAAACAAUCAUUAUUAAAAUAGGCUUAAAAUCAGUCAAUUUAAAAAAUCGUCAUAGAUUAUAUAACAAACAAUAAUAUUUAAAAUUAUUCUAAUUUCUUUACCGGAAACCAAAGUUCAAUAAAUCAAAUUUGAUUAUAAUUAAAUUAUGAGUAUAUAAAAUGUAUUUUAUGUUAAUAAACAAGAUAAAACCUAAACGUUUAUUAAAUAAAAAUUGUACCAAGGAACUCGGCAAUUAAUCCUUCUGCCUGUUUAUCAAAAACAUGUCCAUAUGUUAAAUAAUGUUUUAUAUGGUCUGGCCUGCUCACUGAUAUUUCAAUUAAAGAGCCGCGGUAUUCUGACCGUGCGAAGGUAGCAUAAUAAUUAGUCUCCUAAUUAGAGGCUUGUAUGAAUGGUCGGACAAGAUGGAAACUGUCUCAGUACAAAAAAUAAAAUUUAAUAACUAAGUAAAAAAGCUUAGAUAAAAUGGAGGGACGAUAAGACCCUAUAAAGCUUUAUAAUAUAUGCCUUCUUUAUGAAAUAUAAAAUUAUCAAAAUAUAAUAGAACUUGUAUUAUUUUACUGGGGCGGUAAAAGUAUAAUAAACUAACUGCUUUUGUCUUGUAUAACAAUCUUAAUUGAAAAUAAAUUGAUCCAUUAUUAAUGAUCACAAGAACAAGUUACUUUAGGGAUAACAGCGUAAUUUUUUUUGAGAGUUCUCAUCGAAAAAAAAGUUUGCGACCUCGAUGUUGAAUUAAGGUUACCUUAAGGUGCAGCAGUUUUAAAGGUGGAUCUGUUCGAUCUUUAAAUCCUUACAUGAUUUGAGUUCAGACCGGCGUGAGCCAGGUUGGUUUCUAUCUUCCAUAUAAAAAAAAACUUGCUUUAGUACGAAAGGAUUUGGUAAGUCAAAUAAUUUGUCGCUUGUUGAUUCUUAUUAACUA
rnacentral:rRNA from 1 species